rnacentral:rRNA from 1 species
CAGCAGCAGCCACGGUAAUACGAAGGGUGCAAGCGUUAAUCGGAAUUACUGGGCGUAAAGCGUGCGUAGGCGGUGAGUUAAGUCUGCUGUGAAAUCCCCGGGCUCAACCUGGGAAUGGCAGUGGAUACUGGCUCGCUAGAGUGUGUCAGAGGAUGGUGGAAUUCCCGGUGUAGCGGUGAAAUGCGUAGAGAUCGGGAGGAACAUCAGUGGCGAAGGCGGCCAUCUGGGACAACACUGACGCUGAGGCACGAAAGCGUGGGGAGCAAACAGGAUUAGAGACCCCCGUAGUCCCUGUCUCUUAUAC